rnacentral:rRNA from 1 species
UACGUAGGGCGCAAGCGUUGUCCGGAAUUAUUGGGCGUAAAGAGCUCGUAGGCGGUGUGUCGCGUCGGCCGUGAAAACCUGCAGCUUAACUGUGGGCUUGCGGUCGAUACGGGCAUCACUGGAGUUCGGCAGGGGAGACUGGAAUUCCUGGUGUAGCGGUGAAAUGCGUAGAUAUCGAGAGGAACACCUGCGGCGAAGGCGGGUUGCUGGGCUGAUACUGACGCUGAGGCGCGAAAGCCAGGGGAGCGAACGGG